rnacentral:lncRNA from 1 species
AAGGUCAUGUCUGGAUUCCACAAUAUACUGCAAACAGUAGGCUUUCUAUUGAAGACUCCUCAUUAAGGCCAUAGAGGUUCUGAAUCUCAGAAAAAAUAAAUGUUUCUUCUUUGAGUCUACAACUGAGUGAAUGGGACAACACUCAGGCAACAGCAAACUGAGUGCAUUCAUAAUUCAACUUCUUAAGAUAAGCCUUUCUUCCCUGGACUGACUUCUGUUCACUGUGCAUGGGAACUGUUGGGUUCUGCCUCCCAGGUGCCCCGGUACCGUGCAGGCUGGCAGAUCAGCUGCUCCGACACGCAGUGGGACCCAGCUCUGUACAGCACCACCAAGUUGUGUGUUCACUGAAAACUGGAUACAAUCUGAGCAGGUCUAAAGCUAGAGGUAAUGGACCUUUUAAAGCCAUUGCCUUUCAAGCAAUAAAAAUAAUAAAAGUCCACAUAACUGCCAAGAUGACAUCAUGAACAAGGAAGCAUACAGAUGGGUUUAAAUGAAUGCAUUCAACAGGAGGAACUAUGUUUUCUUAUGAUCAAGAUUUAGUGAGCAAAUUAUAGAAAAGCAUAAGAAUAAACAGUUAUGCCACUCUGGGAUUGUUAAGCA